rnacentral:rRNA from 1 species
CAGUAGCCGCGGUAAUACGUAGGGUGCAAGCGUUAAUCGGAUUCACUGGGUUUAAAGGGUGCGUAGGCGGAUCUGUAAGUCAGUGGUGAAAUCUCCAGGCUUAACCUGGAAACUGCCGUUGAUACUAUAGGUCUUGAAUUUUGUGGAGGUUAGCGGAAUAUGUCAUGUAGCGGUGAAAUGCAUAGAUAUGACAUAGAACACCAAUUGCGAAGGCAGCUGGCUACACAACUAUUGACGCUGAGGCACGAAAGCGUGGGGAUCAAACAGGAUUAGAUACCCCGGUAGUCCCUGUCUCUUAUAC